CUUAAGACUUGCGCUCA
rnacentral:tRNA from 1 species